rnacentral:rRNA from 1 species
UACGGGGGGGGGCAAGCGUUGUUCGGAAUUACUGGGCGUAAAGGGCUCGUAGGCGGCCAACUAAGUCAGACGUGAAAUCCCCAGGCUCAACCUGGGAACUGCGUCUGAUACUGGAUGGCUUGAGUUUGGGAGAGGGAUGCGGAAUUCCAGGUGUAGCGGUGAAAUGCGUAGAUAUCUGGAGGAACACCGGUGGCGAAGGCGGCAUCCUGGACCAAUACUGACACUGAGGAGCGAAAGCGUGGGGAGCAAACAGG